rnacentral:rRNA from 1 species
GAUGAACGCUAGCUACAGGCUUAACACAUGCAAGUCGAGGGACCGGCGCACGGGUGAGUCACACGUAUCCAACCGGCCCUUUACUCGAGGAUAGCCUUUCGAAAGAAAGAUUAAUACACGAUAUCAAGGAUGGGGAUGCGUUCCAUUUGGUUGUUGGUGAGGUAACGGCCCACCAAGCGUUCGAUGGAUAGGGGUUCUGCGAGGAAGGUCCCCCACAUUGGAACUGAGACACGGUCCACACUCCUACGGGAGGCAGCAGUGAGGAAUAUUGGUCAAUGGGCGGUAGCCUGAACAAGCCAUGCCGCGUGUAUGAAGAAGGCCUAGGGUUGUAAAGUACUUUCAGUCGGGAGGCGUUACCGACAGAAGAAGCACCGGCUAACUCCGUGCCAGCAGCCGCGGUAAUAC